UUAGAAUAAAAGUAGAUAUGUACUUCAUAACUCAAAGAAUUUGGCGGCUGUUAAUAUUUUAGAGGAACCUGUAUUUAAAUUGAUAAACCACGUUAGUCUUUACUUUUUAAUUGUUUGUAUACCUCUAUAAAUGGAAAUAUUUUAUAAGGAUAUUUUUUUUAAGAUUAAUCAUUAAAAUUAGGUCAAGGUGCAGUUUUUAGAAAGUUAAUAUGGGUUACUUUAUUUUUAAUAAUAUAUUUAUUUUUUUUUAUUAAAUGGAUAAAUUUAGGAUUUAAUAGUAAUAUUAAUUAAUUAAUUAAUAUGAAUAUA
rnacentral:rRNA from 1 species